UCGGACGUGGUGCACGGCGCCCGCCUGCUCUUAAUGCUUGUGUUUCUCUGGGUUGUUGCAGGAAGCCUGGGUUCGACUCCCAGCGUCCGAA